AUUUGCAUUUUGUUUGUUUCAAAUUAAUGGAAUCCUACAAUAUGCUAUCUUAUGACUGGAAUGUUUCACCCAGCAUAAUAUGUUUGAAGUUUAUCAGUUAUGAGAGGUAUCAGUUGUUUGUUCCUUUUAUGUUGCUCAGUAGCAUGUUAUUGUAUGAUAUACAUUGUGUCCACCCAUUUACCUUCAGGUAUUCUCCUAUUUGGGACUAUUAUGAACAAUAUAGCAAAACUGAUGUUCAAGUAUAUCUGUAGCCAUGUCUUUUAUUUAUCUUGAAUAUAUGCCUAGAGGUAGAAUUACUUCUUAGUUGUGUAUUUGCCAUAUGAUUCUGUCGGCAUGGCUACCCAGGUCCCUGGCUCUGUCAUCUGAUUCUUCCUUUGGGAAGCCUAGAAGAGAUGGUCAAUCAGAUAGAAAAAAAAGGUAUUUCAUGGGAGAAUCCCUCCAUGGUGUCAAAAAGAAAAAAACUUUCCUUAAGAAAACUAUAUAGGGAAUGGUUAAAUACAAGACAUCAAUUGACAGAGGGAGAAGAGAUGACAUUCUUGGGUGUUUGUUUUCUCUUGUCCUUUAGUCUCUUGCCUCAGGUGCCAUCUAAUGUUGCUGUUGGAUUAGCAUCUCUCACUGGCAUGUUGCUGGGCUGACUGGCCAAUAAGCUCCAUGGAUCCACUUUCCUCACUUCCCCAGCACUGGAAUUCUAGGCACUUCCCAGUCUUAAACAAGAGUAUCAAACUAAGUCCUUGUGCUGACAAGGCAAGCACUCUAUUUAUCAACUGAGCCAUCUUCCCUGCCUUACUUCUCUUAGGGGAAUCUUUUACAAGAAGUUAAUGGAUCUUAUAUGCAAAUAAAACCAUACUGAGAUUUUUUUUGUAUAUGUAUGCAUUUUAUUUAUGCAAGCUCAGCUGUGUGCAGGCACAGAAGUGUAAGCAGUUGUGAGUGCAUGAAUUCAGAGGCCAGAGGUUGAUGGACUAAGAACUAUAGCAAUUUGAGCAAGAAGUUGUGGAGAACUCCUGGAUGGACAGAAUGCCUGAGAAGGAUGAGGGGAUGUCUCUUCGAGGAUGUGAGAGUGGAAGGACAUCUUGGCCAUUAAGCAGGACUCAACUCUAUAGAUGGGUCAGGAAGAAACGGAAGGGAAUGAGCAACUUGUCAAGUCUGAUGCCUGAAGAAUCCUGUGUUAUAGUAGUUCAACAUGGGCAGAAAGUGGAUGAAUCCCUGACCAUUCUACUUUUCCCACAAAAUCAGCAAGACUGAAGUUAUCAAAUAUACCAAUUCGCUAAGCCUAUGACGAAGUGCUUGAAAACAAGUGGCCAGUGCUAACUCAGUUUCGAGUCACUCAGAAGUAGGUAGUCUGUGUCAUCAUUAGUGGACAAGUUGGAAGGCCUUUGUAAGCACAAGUCAUCUGGCUAGGCUGACUGGAGCCUGGCCGGAGCCUGGCUGGCUCCAACCCGGCCAGAUAACACAUUGAGUACCAGGCUCGGCUCCUGGAGGUGUUGAGGGCAAACCCCAAAGUGGUUGCAUGGCUGUAAUCUGGCCUGAGUGGGCCCACAGCACAGACAGAAAUCAAACUCUGUCCUGCCAAGUCCCUUCCGAAAAAGCAUGCCCCACUGGCAGCGGCUUCUCCUAAGGAUUCUGGGAGGAGAUCCAGACAGAAGAACUCUGUGUGGGACAAACCAACACUUUCAGCAUCCUGUUUCCUCUCCUGGCAGACAGACAUGUUUCUUUUUGUCUGUUGCAGAAACUAGAACUGGAUCAUGUGCUUAGAGAACCAAUAAGAUGGAAAUCAGCAACCAAGGGGGGAACCGCAAAGGCUAUUCGAGGAGGCCAGGGGCAGAGGACGGCAAAGAAAAGCAAGUAGGUCAAAGCCCAGACAAUGUGAGUCCGGCUGGACCUGAGCGAUUCUCUGCAGGGAGCCUCAGGUGGGGUCAGCUUGUUCCGGGACUUCUGCUGCCAGGGGAAUGCUGCCUUGGGAACUGCAAUACCAUCUGUCACAUUUAGAGCCACAGUCUCCAUUCUUAACUGAGGAGGAAAUGGUUACCUUUCUUCUUGAGAGAGAGAGAGAGAGCACUAAGCUGCAAGUAGACUCAAAUCCACCCUUGCUCUUUGCCCGUGUGAAGACUUUCUCACAGCCUUAGACUACUCAUGAUAAUACACAACUAUCAGCAAAGCUUUUAUUUAUUAAAAUUGUUUUUUAAGUGUACAGUUUUAAUGGGUCAAAAGCUAUGAAUGUUUUGGCCCCUCAAAUGCCUUUCCAUUCUUCCUAUCUUCCCUCUUUGCUGAAUCUUUCCUUCCUCCAAAUAUUUAUUGAGCAUCUGCUGUAUGACAGGCAUUAUAGUUUCAAAUGGACAAGGGAGAAAAAUGUCACUGUCUCCCGUCUCAGAAUCUGUGGCCUCUGAGAUCUCUACUUCUGCAUGAAGACCUGGUGCAUAUUUUAGUAGACACACAAUGUUCAAAAUUGUUUCCAACCCAUACCUACCAUACCUACAAAUAAAGCUUUUAAAAGCAAACUGUGUGGCUAGAGAAUUGACUCAGCAGUUAAGAGCAUUUGUUGCUCUCACAAAGGACCCAUUUGGUUUCCAGCAUGCACCUGUUUGGCCCCCAAGCAUCUGUAACUCCAGUUCUGGGGAUCUGAUACC